GGACCUAGGGCUGAGGGUUACAUAAAAGCCCAGCGAAGCUCUGGGCCCAGCACCCCUAAGACCUGCCACCUGCCUCCACACCUUCGAGAGCCUCCUGCACUCCCCACUGGCACCAUGCUCAGGACGGCCCUGGUCCUCUCUGCUUGGUUCGGUCUGGCUGUGACUUACCCCAUCGCAUUCCAGGAAUUCAUACACAUUAUCAAUGACCCGGUGCUAUCUGCCGACCCAGAGCCAGUGGUUGUCCUGGAGCCUGAAGAGCCGGCUGUUGUCAUAGAGCCGCUCACUGGUGGAGAGCUGGUCAUUAACCUAGAGCCAAGUGAGGAACUAGAUUUAACCGCUGACCUAGAGUCCACCACAGACCUGGAGUCGACCACAGACCUAGAGUCGGCCACUGACCUAGAGUUGACCACAGACCUAGAGUCGGCCACUGACGUAGAGUUCUUUCGUGGUGGAGAAUUGACUACUGAAGCGUAUUUGAAGAACACACAGGCUUUUGAAUUGUCUACUGCUGUGGAAUCAAGCACCCUCAGCUUUGAGAAAGAAGCCACUGAGGCCACAGUUGACUACAAUUCAGUUCAGCCAGAGAGCUUUGCCAACAAAGAUUAUGAAGUUGUCACUGCUGCUUAUUUCGAUGAGCCCAUCCUUGUAGCAUCAGAUGAGCCCAUCACCUCAUUUGGAAACGACGAGUCCGUCUCAGUGCUUUUUUGAAAGUGGCUCAAGAUGAAGCUUGCUGGAAGCAUCAGUGGAGAGGAGUCUUGAUGUUCCUGUGCUGUGUUCAUAGCCCUCAAAUUCCAGACUCACAAACACCCAGAAUGAGAGAUGGCACUCAGAAAUUGGAUGCUGAAUAUUUUAAUGGUAUAUUGAAGACAGACUGCAUUGUUCCAGUGUCAUGGCUUUCUGAAGGGCUGUUAUCUUCAUGUUCAUUUUCUGAAACAAAUAAACAAGAAAGGAAGUUGAUAGAGGAUCCA
rnacentral:lncRNA from 1 species